CUUGGCUACACUGGGGAGGGAUCCACACUCAGUGUCACUCUUGGCUACACUGGGGAGGGAUCCACACUCAGUGUCACUCUUGGCUACACUGGGGAGGGGGGUCCGCACUCAGUGUCACUCUUGGCUACACUGGGGAGGGAUCCACACUCAGUGUCACUCUUGGCUACACUGGGGAGGGAUCCACACUCAGUGUCACUCUUGGCUACACUGGGGAGGGGGGGUCCGCACUCAGUGUCACUCUUGGCUACACUGGGGGGGGAUCCACACUCAGUGUCACUCUUGGCUACACUGGGGAGGGGGCCACACUCAGUGUCACUCUUGGCUACACUGGGGAAGGAUCCACACUCAGUGUCACUCUUGGCGACACUGGGGAGGGGGGUCCACACUCGGUGUCACUCUUGGCGACACUGGGGAGGGGGGUCCACACUCAGUGUCACUCUUAGCUACCCUGGGGAGAGGGGUCCACACUCAGUGUCACUCUUGGCGACACUGGGGAGAGGGGUCCACACUCAGUGUCACUCUUGGCUACACUGGGGAGAGGGAUCUACACUCAGUGUCACUCUUGGCUACACUGGGGAAGGGGCCACACUCAGUGUCACUCUUGGCUACACUGGGGAGGGAUCUACACUCAGUGUCACUCUUGGCUACACUGGGGAAGGGGCCACACUCAGUGUCACUCUUGGCUACACUGGGGGGGGGAUCCACACUCGGUGUCACUCUUGGCUACCCUGGGGAGGGGUCACACUCGGUGUCACUCUUGGCUACACUGGAGAAGGGGUCACACUCAGUGUCACUCUUGGCUACACUGGGGAGGGGGGUCCACACUCGGUGUCACUCUUGGCUACACUGGGGAGGGAUCCACACUCAGUGUCACUCUUGGCUACACUGGGGAGGGGGGUCCACACUCGGUGUCACUCUUGGCUACACUGGGGAGGGGGGUCCACACUCGGUGUCACUCUUGGCUACACUGGGGAGGGGGGUCCACACUCGGUGUCACUCUUGGCGACACUGGGGAGGGGGGUCCACACUCGGUGUCACUCUUAGCUACCCUGGGGAGAGGGGUCCACACUCAGUGUCACUCUUGGCCACACUGGGGAGGGGGGUCCACACUCGGUGUCACUCUUGGCGACACUGGGGAAGGGUCCACACUCGGUGUCACUCUUGGCUACACUGGGGAGGGAUCCACACUCGGUGUCACUCUUGGCUACACUGGGGAAGGGGGUCCACACUCGGUGUCACUCUUGGCUACACUGGGGAGGGAUCCACACUCGGUGUCACUCUUGGCUACACUGGGGAAGGGGCCACACUCGGUGUCACUCUUGGCUACACUGGGGAGGGGCCACACUCGGUGUCACUCUUGGCUACACUGGGGAAGGGGCCACACUCGGUGUCACUCUUGGCUACACCGGGGAAGGGGCCACACUCGGUGUCACUCUUGGCUACACUGGGGAAGGGGCCACACUCGGUGUCACUCUUGGCUACACUGGGGAAGGGGCCACACUCGGUGUCACUCUUGGCUACACUGGGGAAGGGGCCACACUCGGUGUCACUCUUGGCUACACUGGGGACUGGCCCCCCCGGGCGGCCGGGCACACAGACCGGGUGACACUCACGUUUGUACAGCACACGGGGCGCUCAUGUUUCCACCAUCCGCUCGCCCGCCCGCGCGGUUACGCAGAGCCCCGGCGGGGGGCGGGGAGCAGCCACAGCCAGCCGAGGGCCCGGCGGCCCGAGCUCAUGCCCACGCGCGCCCGACGCCGGGCUCCCGCCGGGCCGCACACGCUUCCUUCCGCCCACCCGCCCGC
ensembl:lncRNA